rnacentral:rRNA from 1 species
GACAGAGGGUGCAAACGUUGUUCGGAAUUACUGGGCGUAAAGCGCGUGUAGGCGGCCCUGCAAGUCGGGUGUGAAAUCCCAUGGCUCAACUAUGGAAGUGCACUCGAAACUGCAGGGCUAGAGUCCUGGAGAGGAAGGUGGAAUGCUUGGUGUAGAGGUGAAAUUCGUAGAUAUCAAGCAGAACACCUGUGGCGAAGGCGGCCUGCUGGACGAUGACUGACGCUGAGACGCGAAAACGUGGAGAGCAAACGGG